ACUUUCAACAAUGGAUCUCUUGGCUCUCGCAUCGAUGAAGAACGCAGCAAAAUGCGAUAAGUAAUAUGAAUUGCAGAAUUCCGUGAAUCAUCAAAUUUUUGAACGCAAAUUGCACUUCUUGGUAUUCCGAGGAGUACACAUGCUUGAGGGUCAGUU
rnacentral:rRNA from 1 species